UCAGUUCGAGAUUUACCGCACAAACAGGGAGCCGCUAGGACUCUACCACCGGUCAGCAUCUCCACCGCACAAACAGUGCGCGACCUAGGUAACCGCUUGGAGAGGCCUCAGUUGCUGCGAACCCUCUCCCCGAUUUUCUCGCUGCUGACCCGGGACUAGCUCCGCUUCGUGCUCGGACGAACCGCCCCGCCAUUGUCGCGCGCGUGGAUCUCGCCGGGAUCCGGCACGUGGACUUCUUUUUCCCCCUCGCGCAUCUGGGUAUAAGACCAUUCCUUGCCCAUUCCUCUGACACCGCAAGCCCGUUAGCCGCACCUUGCACCGUGCCGAGACGCUGGAACCAGAGAAAGAGGGCCGAGGAAGUCGCUCCGCGCCGCCGUAGCCACUGCGCAUGCGCAUCUACGGUCAACCAGUGACAGUGGGAUCUGUGUGGAUUGCACGCGGGUGGGAAAUUGAGCUCGUGAGCCAUCGUCGUUCGGCGAAUUGCUCGCCAGAAUCUGUGGAUUGCCGCCAUCUGCCAUUGCUCGUGGCCAGCGUUCCUCACCGUGCUAAACUCGGAGAAGAACAGGUGGUUCAAGUGGAGCUGCAUAUCGAGGAGUUCGAUUCGAUCUAGGUGGUGUCUCCCAGUUCACUUUCUGGCGCCAAUGAUAGUUUUUAGAUCCUGCUAUAUUUAUCUUUUAUUUUGUAAGACUUCCGCUAUGUAAUAAGUACUCUGAUUAUUGUGACAUUUAUCUCUA